UACGUAGGUGGCAAGCGUUAUCCGGAUUUACUGGGUGUAAAGGGCGUGUAGGCGGGACUGCAAGUCAGAUGUGAAACCCAUGGGCUCAACCCCUGGCCUGCAUUUGAAACUGUAGUUCUUGAGUGAUGGAGAGGCAGGCGGAAUUCCGUGUGUAGCGGUGAAAUGCGUAGAUAUACGGAGGAACACCAGUGGCGAAGGCGGCCUGCUGGACAUUAACUGACGCUGAGGCGCGAAAGCGUGGGGAGCAAACAGG
rnacentral:rRNA from 1 species